rnacentral:rRNA from 1 species
UUCAAUGAUGACACAUAUAUGUCAACUAUGGGUGUUGGCUCCAACAAUCAUUGGUCUCAAACCAAUGAAGUGCAUCAAGAUGAGCAUGAAUAUGAAGUGGAUGAGGAGGGUGAGGGUAUGGUCGAUGCACCGAAAGGAAGGGCGUGCCACUACACUGUGGAGGAAGACAUCUUGCUAUGCAAGACAUGGUUGAAUGUGUCUAUGGAUGCCACCGUUGGGACGGACCAAACUAGAGAUACAUAUUGGUUUAGGAUGAAGGAGUACUUUGAUACACACAACAAGAGUGGAAUUGAGCUCACUAAUAGAUCUCUUCGCUCCCGAUGGUCGACGAUCAACAAAGAUUGUCAAAAGUGGGCAGCGACAAUGACGUCGGUUGACAAGAUAAACCCAAGUGGCAUUAAUGAUGGAGAUAGGUAA